rnacentral:rRNA from 1 species
AGCGAACGCUGGCGGCAGGCCUAACACAUGCAAGUCGAACGGACCCUUCGGGGUUAGUGGCGGACGGGUGAGUAACACGUGGGAACGUGCCUUUAGGUUCGGAAUAGCUCCUGGAAACGGGUGGUAAUGCCGAAUGUGCCCUUCGGGGGAAAGAUUUAUCGCCUUUAGAGCGGCCCGCGUCUGAUUAGCUAGUUGGUGGGGUAAUGGCCCACCAAGGCUACGAUCAGUAGCUGGUCUGAGAGGAUGACCAGCCACAUUGGGACUGAGACACGGCCCAGACUCCUACGGGAGGCAGCAGUGGGGAAUCUUAGACAAUGGGCGCAAGCCUGAUCUAGCCAUGCCGCGUGAGCGAUGAAGGCCUUAGGGUUGUAAAGCUCUUUCAGUGGGGAAGAUAAUGACUGUACCCACAGAAGAAGCCCCGGCUAACUCCGUG